rnacentral:rRNA from 1 species
CAUUGUCGAAAUCUGCAAAGCAGAAUGACUUGCGAACAAGUGAAAAUCACCGUUGGAAGGCGGUGGCAUGCGCCCGCCAAGGGACUGCCUUCGCCUUUCAACCGAUCAUUGGGUGGUGCGGCGUUUGGGCCCUUGUGCCUCCCCCCCCGUUCGUACCUCUCCAUGGUCCCAAUCAACAUACCUCAGCGCGGAAUUGCGCCAAGGAAAACAAACUGAAGGUACGCUGCCCCUUGCACCGUAGUUGGUUGCCUGUGGCUUGCGUGCAUCGCUCAACCUAAUGUUACAACGACUCUCGGCAACGGAUAUCUUGGCUCUCGCAUCGAUGAAGAACGUAGCAAAAUGCGAUAGCUGGUGUGAAUUGCAGAAUCCCGUGAACCAUCGAGUCUUUGAACGCAAGUUGCGCCCGAAGCCGUUAGGCCAAGGGCACGCCUGCCUGGGUGUCACCCCUCCCCCUGCCCAAAAGUUGCACCCCUAUCCCUUGCAUCGUAUUGGGAAGAGUGAAAUUUUGUUUCGGCGGAAAAAUGGCCUCCCAUGGCUAAUAGUUUCGUGGUUGGCCCAAAAUUUGAACUUGGCUCUUAGGAAGCCACGACAAAGCGUUGGCGAAAAGCUCUUGUGAUUCCUUGAUCGUCGUUGUCGUGCCGGACUUUGUAGCU